UACGAAGGGGGCUAGCGUUGCUCGGAAUCACUGGGCGUAAAGCGCACGUAGGCGGCUUUCUAAGUCAGGGGUGAAAUCCUGGAGCUCAACUCCAGAACUGCCUUUGAUACUGGAGAGCUUGAGUCCGGGAGAGGUGAGUGGAACUCCGAGUGUAGAGGUGAAAUUCGUAGAUAUUCGGAAGAACACCAGUGGCGAAGGCGGCUCACUGGCCCGGUACUGACGCUGAGGUGCGAAAGCGUGGGAGCAA
rnacentral:rRNA from 1 species